rnacentral:piRNA from 1 species
AACUCUGUAUUUUGACUGUUGAGGCGAA